rnacentral:misc_RNA from 1 species
CAAGAAGCCGAAAGGCUACUUAAAACCAUCGCGAACUUAUCCAAGUUGCUUCGGCGGCGCGGCUCCCCUCACGGGGGACCGCAGCCCCCGUCUCUCAGGAGGUAAGGGGCAGCCGCCGGAGGUACGAAACUCUGUAUUAUAGUGGUAUCUCUGAGUAUAAAACAAAUAAGUUA